rnacentral:rRNA from 1 species
GACGAACGCUGGCGGCGUGCCUAAUACAUGCAAGUUGAGCGCUGAAGGUUGGUACUUGUACCGACUGGAUGAGCAGCGAACGGGUGAGUAACGCGUGGGGAAUCUGCCUUUGAGCGGGGGACAACAUUUGGAAACGAAUGCUAAUACCGCAUAAAAACUUUAAACACAAGUUUUGAGUUUGAAAGAUGCAAUUGCAUCACUCAAAGAUGAUCCCGCGUUGUAUUAGCUAGUUGGUGAGGUAAAGGCUCACCAAGGCGAUGAUACAUAGCCGACCUGAGAGGGUGAUCGGCCACAUUGGGACUGGGACACGGCCCAAACUCCUACGGGAGGCAGCAGUAGGGAAUCUUCGGCAAUGGACGAAAGUCUGACCGAGCAACGCCGCGUGAGUGAAGGAGGUUUUCGGAUCGUAAAACUCUGUUGGUAGAGAAGAACGUUGGUGAGAGUGGAAAGCUCAUCAAGUGACGGUAACUACCCAGAAAGGGACGGCUAACUACGUGCCAGCCGCCGCGGUAA